rnacentral:rRNA from 1 species
CCCGUUAAGUUACCCCUGCCUGGGGGGAGUACGGGCCGCAAGGGCUGGAAACUUCAAAGGGAAUUAGACGGGGGGCCCCGCCACAAAGGGGUGGGAGCAUGUGGGUUUAAUUAGGCCGCAACGGCGAAGAACCUUACCGUAGGCUUAACAUGCAUGGGAAAGCCCCCUGGAAACAGGGGCCCCUCUUCGGAGGCUCAUGCACAGGUGCUGCAUGGCUGUCGUCAGCUACGUGUCGUGAGAUGUUGGGUUAAGUNCCGCAACGAGCGCAACCCUUACCCUUAGUUGCCAGCGAGUCAUGUCGGGGACUCUAGGGGGACUGCCGGUGCCAAACCGGAGGAAGGUGGGGAUGACGUCAAGUCAUCAUGGUCCUUACGUCUAGGGCUACACACGUGCUACAAUGGCAGGUACAGAGGGCUGUGAAGGGGCAACCUGGAGCCAAUCCCCAAAGCCUGCCUCAGUUCGGAUUGUCGGCUGCAACUCGCCGGCAUGAAGCUGGAAUCGCUAGUAAUCAGCGGAUCAGUCUACGCCGCGGUGAAUACCGUUCCCGGUGGUUUGUACACACCGCCCGUCACGCCACGGAAGCUGUGAGCGCCCGACGUC